UACGUAGGUGGCAAGCGUUGUCCGGAUUUAUUGGGCGUAAAGCGAGCGCAGGCGGUUUUUUAAGUCUGAUGUGAAAGCCUUCGGCUUAACCGAAGAAGUGCAUUAGAAACUGGGAAGCUUGAGUGCAGAAGAGGACAGUGGAACUCCAUGUGUAGCGGUGAAAUGCGUAGAUAUAUGGAAGAACACCAGUGGCGAAGGCGGCUGUCUGGUCUGUAACUGACGCUGAGGCUCGAAAGUAUGGGGAGCGAACAGG
rnacentral:rRNA from 1 species